GAUGAACGCUAGCGGGAGGCUUAAUACAUGCAAGUCGAGCGGCAAGGUCUUCGGACCCUAGAGCGGCGCACGGGUGAGUAACGCGUACGCAAUCUGCCCUACAGUGAGGAAUAGCCCUGGGAAACUGGGAUUAAUACCUCAUAAUAUUAUUUGUCUGCAUGGAUGAAUAAUUAAAGUUCUGGCGCUGAAGGAUGAGCGUGCGUCUGAUUAGCUAGUUGGUAGGGUAACGGCCUACCAAGGCUACGAUCAGUAGGGGGCGUGAGAGCGUGACCCCCCCACACGGGUACUGAGACACGGACCCGACUCCUACGGGAGGCAGCAGUGAGGAAUAUUGGUCAAUGGGAGCAAUCCUGAACCAGCAAUGCCGCGUGUGGGAUGACAGGGCUUCGCCUUGUAAACCACUGUCGGACGGGACGAAAGGAGGCCUCGGGCCUCUGGGACGGUACCGUCAAAGGAAGGGUCGGCUAACUACGUGCCAGCAGCCG
rnacentral:rRNA from 1 species